CUAAACUAUAAAAUCCUAAUUCUUAUUACCCAAAACCUGUUUUAGUUCCAAAAUGCGUCCCUUUGUACCAAAAGAUAUUCUGUUCAUGAGUUCAUUCGUUCGUCCAGACAUUUCCCAAGACAUUUGUAUAUCUUGCUCAUACAUGAUACUCUGAGUUGCCUGGCUACACUUGAAUUAAUAACAUGGGAGCUCUAUAAACACAGAUUAUUUGUAUCAUAUUAAAAUGAUGAUUCUCCUUAACGUGUUUCCUUCACCUCAUGUUUUCCAUCAAGGUCGAGGCAAAGUUAUUAAGAAAAGAUCCACCAGGGACUGUCUCUCCUCAGUCUUCUAAGUUGUGAAGGCUGCGUGUGGGGUGGGGGUGGGGCGGUCCAUUUACCAGUGCAGGUUGGCUGACACACCUUAUCUACUGUAACCACACUCCUGUGUUAUAGUAUUUAGUGUAACAGUGCUCACACUCACUCAUGUCUGUUGUUCACAGUUUUGCUCAUCCAACUUACCUUUGGCUUGAACCAUAGAACCCACUUGUGAGUUAGCCAGCAGAGCUCAAGUUAAUGUACCUCCGUUUCCUGUCAUAUGCCACCACUGCUUCAAGCUUUCCUCAGCUAAAUCUAUAGGGAAUACUUUUACAGAAUUAAUUAAACUGACUGUUCAUAACACCUUUUCUAUCUAUCUAUCUAUCUAUCUAUCUAUCUAUGCAUGCAUGAAUAUGAACGUAAGAGGGAGGGAAAAAUGAAUCUGAGAAAACAAAUGAAGCUUUAACCCACUGAUACAGGAGAUGCACAGGGGAGAAAAGACACAGUAGAGGACACAACUGUAUGUACAUGGGGGACAGAUUUACACAUUAUGAGACAGCCUUGAACAGGGCACAGGUACUACCUACUCUGUAUUCCAUAUUCUAUGUUACGAAAGCUGCCAGCCUCUCUACAUGUGCUUGGAAACACAGAGGAGAGGAACAUGUGUUUUGAGUUUCCAGAGCCUUUAAAGUGAAGAGCCAAUUGGAGCAGAGAAGCAAGGUACUGAGAAAAUAGAGAAGAAAUGAGAGCGUUGGCUUAGGUUUAGGUGUGUUUGAAGACCAAGAGUUAUUCUUUUGUUUGGAAAACAAUAUGUCCCCAAGUUACCUUCUCCUCUGGUCUAUUUUACUGACGCGAAGACAGGGCUAAAGUAUUGACCAGAAUAAUUCAUCAUUUAUUUUAGAUUUUCCAUUGUUGCACUGUGUACUCCUCCUGGAAGAUGUUAUGGAAUGACUAGCAUUAUGUUGUGCAGAUGUGCAGUCAAACAAUCAGCAUGACUUUGGGCCCAAUGAGCAAUGGAUGAGAAGUUAAUACAUAUAAGGCUCCAAGGACAAAAAUAUAUAUAUAUACACUAUACUAAAUAAUAUAUUAAUCUUUGACAAAGAGAAUAGCAGCCAUGCUCUAAGUUACAGAUUUGUCAGCCUUUUGGAAUUACCAGAUACAUUGCAAUUUAAUAUUUGAGAUCUCAAAUAUCAAAAACAAAGUGUAUGUUUGCUGUUUUUUGAUCUUAGUUUUUAUGGCUUAAACCUGAUUUGGCAUGGGGGUUUAACAUUAACUGGCAUUAAAACAGCAUAACAAAGAUGCCAGACAACUUUCCUCAGUCAAGUUGCCUUCAGAAAAUGCUGGUAAUGUGAGAAUUGUGAACACUUUCUAUACAGCCUGAGUUUGAUACUGAACUCUACUUGGCAGAUUUUUUAGAGUGUACUUUGCCCUUAACACAGUAUAAACAUCUGCUCAACCAGAAUAACCUGCUGGUGCCAAUGUACAGAUAAUAAAUGUUAGCUAUGUAUCUUAAAUGGGAUUUUGUAACAAAGAAACACUCAUAACUUACUACUACUACUACUACUAUUUACAUUUGUUUGAAGACCUGAAACAUUUAGGUGUGACAAACACUUAAAUGAAAGGCAGGGUACUCUCACAGAAUUGCACGUAAUACUUUUGGUGUAAUCUUUGAAGGAUCUUUUCUAAACUCUCUAAAAAAGUUCUUUGAGAGUUUGCUUUUCUUUAUUCAUCAUUUCAAACUACAAAAAAAGUCAGCUACUUAGAAAUGCUUUUGGAGCUUCUUUCUGCAUAUUUAUAAUGUUUGUUUUUUUUAGGGUCCAUUCUAAGUUAUUGUGAUUGUAUCAUGGUUCACAUCUACCAGAUUUUACUAAGAAGAAUGACUUUAUCAGUAACUAAGCUAUGUAUGCCUGUAUUUGUUGGGAGGGGUGCCUCUAUGGCCCAUACAUCCAAUGUCAUGUCCUAAAUUAAAACACCUGACUCCAAGUAGCAUACUGGAAGGAGCCAUUUACACAAUCUCCACGAUUCUUGUGUUUGUGUUGUAGAUGAAAUUUAGACCACAGUUCAUAAACAGUGAGUGCUGAUAUCCUAUUGAGUGACUACUUCAGUAAGUAUUUUUUUGCAUUUACAAUAGUGCAUGUUAUUUGCUGUGGUAUGCCAGCUAACAACAGCUGCACAACACAAGAGAACCUUCCAGUAUCUGCAGAAAAUUUAUAUAAACACAUAACGUAUAAUGCUGUAUACAGCCUUUAUCUGUUUGUUUUUUUUUACAUUACUUAAGAAACUGAUUUUGCACCUUUUUUUUUAGUGUGAUCUGGAAAUUAUGUAUUGUCUACUUCACUGAUUUUACUGAAUAACCAAAUCCAACAUUUGAUUCAUAAAACAAUGGAACUGAAUGAAUUGCGAUGAACAACGCCGCACACACUGGGGUAUUAAACAAUAAAAGGCUUUACACAUUUAAAUGUAUCUAAAUGCAUUUUCUUGGUCAACACUAUACUGAGUGCAAAAGUGUGUGUUUGACUGACUGUACUUAAACUGCUGAAUGAAAUUAGACAGAAUUUUCUAGUUUAUUGUGUCUAAAGAUAUCCAGAGGAAGACAAUGAUAAUUUAUUUCGGGGGAAUGCUCCAGUGUAACAUAAGGACAUUUUGUCAUGGUCCCCGUGCCUGCUCGGCUGGCCCUGUGUGGCUACAUGUGUUGUUUUUGUCUCUCUCCUCUCUCUCUACUCGCUGCCUGGGCGGAGCUCAUAGUGGGCUCCCGCUCCUGGCCUUCACCACCUGUAGGCAAUCACCUGUGGCUCCUCACCUUGUUUGCUCUCGCUACUUAAGGCAGUGACUGAGAGCACCUCGCCGCUGGACUAUUGAGUAACGCUCAUUUCUCGUGCUUGGUUUGGAAAUCUGGACACCUAAGCCUGUUCGUGAGUGCCGUAGUGAGAGUGGCGUGUGUGAGGAAAGGACCUUUCCAAGCGCGCCGCUCUGCCCGAGUGGGGCGGAGUAAGAGAGGACACUUUUCCCAAUUUUUCCCUGUACCCCUGGGAACCCUAGCCCCCUUCUCCUUCACCAGUGUAUAGUGCACCAGGAGUGUGUAAAUAAAACCAGUUUUCUGUGA